CUGUGUUUCCCGCCAGUUUUCUGUCGCACCUGUUGGUCAUGGUGUCAUCACUUCCUCUGUGAGUUGCACACCUGACCCAACAUGUCCUCCUGCACAGGAGGUUGUGUGUUCAUGCCCGGGUUUGCCACAGGUCGAGAAAGAACUCUUGCUCAGGGGAGAACAGGAGGAGAGAGAGCGGAGGGGAUGAAGAGUGCGACAGGCAGAUGAUGAGGCACCAAAAGAGCUACUGAAGAGGUGAAGUGUCAGACAGACAGAUGCAGGUCAUGCUGCUGCUGCUGUGUGCAGACACCUUUUUUCAGCCUCUGGUGAAGUUAAUUGCCGAGUUGUAAAGGAAAUGGCAACAGAUUACUGCAGAGACCUUCUGUUCCCCCCGCAGACUGCAGGGAAGUUGGAUGGCGUCCAUGUGAACCUGCUGACUGGAACGAGCAUAGAGAGCAGAGGCAAUGCUCCUCUUUCAGCCAGGGAGGAGGAGAUAACUGAUAGAUGCUGGUAGCUUUGUUGGUUUCACAAGUGUGCUUGCACUGUUGUCAGAAAAAAGAAGUAGUUUAAAGAGCCAAUGUGUAGCACAAUGUGCAGAGCUGCUCUUUUUUUCUUCAGGCUCUGUACCAUUUUUUUCUUCAAGUUAUUUGGUUAUUUUCAGAGUUAUUGUAAAAACAAAUUUUAAACCUGAUUGAUUAAAGAUGAUAAAUAGA